GACGAACGCUGGCGGCGCGCUUAACACAUGCAAGUCGAACGAGAAGCUCGGUGCUUGCACCGGGUGGACAGUGGCGAACGGGUGCGUAACACGUGAGCAACCUGCCCCGGAGACCGGAAUAACCCGAGGAAACUCGGACUAAUACCGGAUGCCCUCCUCGGAUCGCAUGGUCCGGUGAGGAAAUGGUCUGCCGCUCCGGGAUGGGCUCGCGGCCUAUCAGCUUGUUGGUGAGGUAACGGCUCACCAAGGCAACGACGGGUAGCUGGUCUGAGAGGACGAUCAGCCACACUGGGACUGAGACACGGCCCAGACUCCUACGGGAGGCAGCAGUGGGGAAUCUUGCGCAAUGGGGGAAACCCUGACGCAGCGACGCCGCGUGCGGGAUGAAGGCCCUAGGGUUGUAAACCGCUUUCAGCAGGGACGAAAUUGACGGUACCUGCAGAAGAAGGCCCGGCCAACUACGUG
rnacentral:rRNA from 1 species